GCGCGAGUGGCGGAAUUGGCAGACGCGCACGGUUCAGGUCCGUGUGUCCGAAAGGGCUUGGGGGUUCAAGUCCCCCCUCGCGCACCA
rnacentral:tRNA from 1 species